rnacentral:lncRNA from 1 species
GACUUGCACUGUCCCCUGGGCUGGAAUGCAGUGGCAUGAUCUCGACUCAUUGCAACCUCUGCCUCCCAGGUUCAAGUGAUUCUUCUGCCUCAGCCUCCCGACUAGUUGGGAUUACAGGUGCCCAAUACCACGCCUGGCUAAUUUUUUUUUUAUUUUUAGUAGAAAGGGGGUUUCACUGUGUUGGCCAGGCUGGUCUCGAACCCCUGACCUCGUGAUCCGCUCACCUUGGCCUCCCAAAGUGCCGGGAUUGCAGGCGUGAGCCACCGCACCCAGCCUGAAGACUUUUAAAGCAUCAAAGCAUCUUGAAAACACCUGCUGCAGUGUUUUCAAGCUGGGGCCAUGGCAUCCUCAAAACUAAAUGCCCAUCUAACAUUAUCUGCAGGGUGAAUAAAUAAUAGAUGUUCUACUAUUUAUUAAAAAGUGCUACUAGAUUAAUUGUAGUGUUUUCUCAUUUUGUGUCUUUUCAAUUAACAGAUUCUACAAGCCCAAGUUUUUUUAUUGAGGAAUAUACGACAUCUUUUUAAGAUUAAACAAGGUCUUUAAAGCCAAAAUUGAUCCAAUUCAAUCCCUUCAUUGCAGACGAGGAACAGCACUGAGUUCCUGAAAAAGUGCCAAACUGAAUGGUGCAGUCCUGCCGAAAGAGACCCUGCGCUGUGCUGUGUUCUCAAAGGAAGGAAUGUGUUUCACAUCUCUACACCUCUGCAACUUGGGACAGCGUAGCUUUCCUAUUUUCUGGCACCCAAAAAGGGACAGCUGAUACACCCCACUCACUCCAGACUCUGCAGAUGAGAUCUGGGACAACUGACAAAAAGCUGGAGACAGGUAAGAAUUCUUGCCAAGGUCAGCUCUCCUGGAUCUUUAUCAGUAGCACCCCGUGGAGAGAAGAAGGUUAAAAACUUUUUCUUUCCCCUUACUUCCCAAAUUCUGAGUAUCAAGAGAAAAUCAUUUGUUUGAAUUGUGACUCCUAUGUAAAUGUGAUUUGGGGUACCCAUUCAUUAUUGAUCCUUUCCCUCCCAGGGACAGCUAUAACUUUC